GCUGGGCAUGGUGGCGCAUGCCUGUAAUCCCAGGUACGUGGGAGGCUGAGGCAGGAGAAUCGCUUGAACCCAGGAGGUGGAGGUUGCAGUGAGCUAUCACGCCACUGCACUCCAGCCUGAGCCACAGAGCAAGACUCUGUCUCAA
rfam:Homo sapiens chromosome 2, GRCh38 reference primary assembly.